rnacentral:rRNA from 1 species
GUGCAGCAGUCGAGAAUUUUUCUCAAUGGGGGCAACCCUGAAGGAGCGACGCCGCGUGGAGGAUGAAGGCUUUCGGGUUGUAAACUCCUGUCAUUUGAGAACAAGUGUGAGCACAUAACUACUGCUCAUUUGAUAGUAUCAGAAGAGGAAGGGACGGCUAACUCUGUGCCAGCAGCCGCGGUAAUACAGAGGUCCCAAGCGUUGUUCGGAUUCAUUGGGCGUAAAGGGUGCGUAGGUGGCGUGGUAAGUCGGGUGUGAAAUUUCGGAGCUUAACUCCGAAACUGCAUUCGAUACUGCCGUGCUUGAGGACUGGAGAGGAGACUGGAAUUUACGGUGUAGCAGUGAAAUGCGUAGAGAUCGUAAGGAAGACCAGUGGCGAAGGCGGGUCUCUGGACAGUUCCUGACACUGAGGCACGAAGGCUAGGGGAGCAAACGGGAUUAGAUACCCCUGUAGU